rnacentral:rRNA from 1 species
CCUACGGGUGGCAGCAGUGAGGAAUAUUGGUCAAUGGCCGAGAGGCUGAACCAGCCAAGUCGCGUGAGGGAAGACGGCCCUACGGGUUGUAAACCUCUUUUGUCGGGGAGCAAAGCGAACCACGUGUGGUUCAUUGAGAGUACCCGAAGAAAAAGCAUAGGCUAACUCCGUGCCAGCAGCCGCGGUAAUACGGAGGAUGCGAGCGGUAUCAGGAUUUUUUGGGUUAAAGGGGUGAGCAGGCGGAGGUGCAAGUCAGCGGUCAAAUUGCGGGGCUCAACCCCGUACUGCCGUUGAAACUGCAUCCCUUGAGUGCGCGAGAAGUAUGCGGAAUGCGUGGUGUAGCGGUGAAAUGCAUAGAUAUCACGCAGAACUCCGAUUGCGAAGGCAGCAUACCGGCGCGCAACUGACGCUCAUGCACGAAAGCGUGGGUAUCGAACAGGAUUAGAUACCCCUGUAGUC